rnacentral:rRNA from 1 species
GAGUUUGAUCCUGGCUCAGAACGAACGCUGGCGGCAGGCCUAACACAUGCAAGUCGAGCGCGCCUUUCGGGGUGAGCGGCGGACGGGUUAGUAACGCGUGGGAAUAUACCCUUUGGUACGGAAUAGCCUCUGGAAACGGAGAGUAAUACCGUAUGAGCCCUUUGGGGGAAAGAUUUAUCGCCAAGGGAUUAGCCCGCGUUAGAUUAGGUAGUUGGUGGGGUAAUGGCCUACCAAGCCUACGAUCUAUAGCUGGUUUUAGAGGGUGAUCAGCAACACUGGGACUGAGACACGGCCCAGACUCCUACGGGAGGCAGCAGUGGGGAAUCUUGGACAAUGGGGGCAACCCUGAUCCAGCCAUGCCGCGUGAGUGAUGAAGGCCUUAGGGUCGUAAAGCUCUUUCGCCUGUGAAGAUAAUGACGGUAGCAGGUAAAGAAACCCCGGCUAACUCCGUGCCAGCAGCCGCGGUAAUACGGAGGGGGUUAGCGUUGUUCGGAAUUACUGGGCGUAAAGCGCACGUAGGCGGAUCGGAAAGUUGGGGGUGAAAUCCCGGGGCUCAACCCCGGAACUGCCUCCAAAACUAUCGGUCUAGAGUUCGAGAGAGGUGAGUGGAAUUCCGAGUGUAGAGGUGAAAUUCGUAGAUAUUCGGAGGAACACCAGUGGCGAAGGCGGCUCACUGGCUCGAUACUGACGCUGAGGUGCGAAAGUGUGGGGAGCAAACAGGAUUAGAUACCCUGGUAGUC